AGAAUCAACGCUGGCGGCGUGCCUAACACAUGCAAGUCGAACGAGAAAGUGGUAGCAAUACCAUGAGUACAGUGGCGCACGGGUGAGUAACACGUGACUAACCUACCCUGGAGUGGGGGAUAAACUGAGGGAAACCUUAGCUAAUACCGCAUAAUACCUACGGGUCAAAGGAGCAAUUCGCUUCAGGAGGGGGUCGCGGCCGAUUAGUUAGUUGGCGGGGUAAUGGCCCACCAAGACAGUGAUCGGUAUCCGGCCUGAGAGGGCGCACGGACACACUGGAACUGAAACACGGUCCAGACUCCUACGGGAGGCAGCAGUGGGAAUUUGCGCAAUGGGGGAAACCCUGACGCAGCAACGCCGCGUGGAGGAUGAAGUCCUUCGGGACGUAAACUCCUUUCGAUCGGGACGAUAAUGACGGUACCGGAAGAAGAAGCCCGGCUAACUCGUGCCAGCAGCCGC
rnacentral:rRNA from 1 species